CGCCCGAAAGUGCUGUGAGCCUAUAAGUGAGUAGGGGCGGCCCGGGUCAUUGACACUGGGGCUGCAGCGCGGGCUGCGUGCGUGGUCGCGUGCCUGCCAGACAGUCCGUGAUUCCAUCAGCUUGGAGUCCUGGUAGCUGCGGCGCCGGGUGGCGAGAGGCGGGUCUCGGAGACCCCUGCGACCCACUGUGGUUCGGGGGCGUGGUGUGGUGGUACAGGCACGAAAGCGCUUCGGAAGCCGCAGUCAGCAGGCGGAGCCCCUCGCCCUAAUUGUCACCGAAGGUUAGCUAGGACCAGCAGACCUUCAUCCCCGCAGAAGAGUCGGGGUUGGGGCUCCGGGUUCCUGGAACGGUUCUCCAGACACCUGAGCCAGACCGAGGCAGUCUGGAAGAAACCACGUUUGAACGUGAGGAGUCCUUGGACCUGAGGGAAGCGAACCCGGGUUCCUGUACCAGCUUUGCCACUCAACGUGGCCAAGUCGCUUUCCUUCUUUGGGUCACAGUGGUUUUGAUCUGUAAGAGAAGAGUUUAGGACUUGAACACGAAGUCUGAUUCUCAGGAUUUCCAAAUCCCCACCAUUUAUCCUGGAAGUGGGGGCAACAAAUUGACUUUCUGUUCUUUCAUCUAUUUGUACUUCUAAAUUAUAAAAGUAAUAUUGUAAGAGUUUGGAAUAGAGCUUUUUCCUAAGAUCAAGGGCUGAAUGGAAACUUACCCAUUUCUUACACUGGGGCCUGAUCUCUUUUACUGCAGCCAGGGAGAAUCCUUUUUGUCAAGUGACUGAGGAGAAUAUUAGGUUGGAGAGUACAUUUCUUAGAUCAUGGUCGACAAACUAUGACACACUGCCUGCAUGGUUUUUACAUUUUUAAAAGAUUAACAGAAAUGAAAAGGAUAAUAUUUUCUGAUAUGUAAAAAUGAUAUGAACCUGAAAUUUCAGUGCCCAUAAAUAAAGUUUUUUGGGAACAU
rnacentral:lncRNA from 1 species